AGCGCCUCCCUCCACCGCAGCUUGCGUUAGCUAGGUGGCUGCACCUCGUGUGCGGUGCCUGAGAACACUGCAUUUCAGUUGUUUGAUCCUCCCAGCGUCCUGGCCCGACACCAUGGGAGUGACUUGUGUGUCCCAGAUGCCUGUGGCUGAGGGCAAGAGUGUCCAGCAGACCGUGGAGCUCCUCACCCGGAAGUUGGAGAUGCUUGGAGCAGAGAAGCAGGGAACAUUUUGUGUGGACUGUGAGACCUACCACACGGCUGCCUCUACACUUGGCAGCCAAGGUCAGGCUGGGAAGCUGAUGUAUGUGAUGCACAAUUCCGAGUACCCUUUGAGCUGCUUCGCCCUCUUUGAGAACGGCCCUUGCCUUGUUGCCGACACCAACUUUGAUGUGCUCAUGGGGAAGCUCAAGGGCUUUUUCCAGAGUGCCAAGGCCAGCAAGAUUGAGACCCGGGGCACCCGUUACCAGUACUGUGACUUCCUAGUGAAGGUGGGCACGGUUACAAUGGGGACCAGUGCCCGAGGCAUCUCCGUGGAGGUGGAGUAUGGCCCCUGUGUGGUAGCUAGCGACUGCUGGAGCCUGCUGCUCGAGUUCCUGCAGAGCUUUCUAGGCAGCCACACCCCAGGGGCUCCCGCAGUGUUUGGGAACAGGCACGACGCGGUCUACAGCCCAGCAGACACCAUGGUCCAGUACAUGGAACUCUUCAACAAGAUCCGCAAGCAGCAGCAGGUGCCCGUGGCGGGGAUUCGUUAGUGAUUGGCAGCUGCCUGGCUGAGCUGUCGCCAGGGGGACUCCACAGGAGGAGCAGGUAAUAGAGAAGAGGAAACCUAACCAAUGACUGUGGAAUAAUAUGGAAGAAGAUGGAAAAAAUCUGUUUAAUGGG